rnacentral:rRNA from 1 species
GGGUCAGUAGGUUGGUCGUGCCACCGGUACGUACUGGUCUCACUGGUUCCUCCUUCCUGAAGAACCGUAAUGCCAUUAAUUUGGUGUUGCGGGGAAACAGGACUGUUACUUUGAAAAAAUUAGAGUGUUUAAAGCAAGCUAACGCUUGAAUACAUUAGCAUGGAAUAAUGAAAUAGGACGAUCGAUCCUAUUUUGUUGGUUUCUAGGAUUGACGUA